UCCGUAGGUGAACCUGCGGAAGGAUCAUUACUGGAAAUAUUCAAGGUUGUAGCUGGCCUUCCGGGGCAUGUGCUCGCCUUGUUUCAAAUCCAUCUUACACCUGUGCACACUCUGUAGUCCUUGGGUUUCUUUUGGGGUCACACCCGGAGAGAUUCUAGUUCUACGUAUUUACACAUACACUUUAAAAGUUUAGAAUGUAUUACUUGUGAUAAAACACAUUUAAAAACAACUUUCAACAACGGAUCUCUUGGCUCUCGCAUCGAUGAAGAACGCAGCGAAAUGCGAUAAGUAAUGUGAAUUGCAGAAUUCAGUGAAUCAUCGAAUCUUUGAACGCACCUUGCGCUCCUUGGUAUUCCGAGGAGCAUGCCUGUUUGAGUGUCAUGAAUCUCUCAAACUCUUAGUUUCAUUACUGAGUGUUUGGAUUUGGAGGUCUAUGCUGGCGCAAGUCAGCUCCUCUUAAAUACAUUAGCUUGGGUCUUGCAUGUCUGGAUCCUUGGUGUGAUAAUUAUCUACGCCAUGAUGUCCCUUCAAGCCCUGCUUCUAAUCGUCUGAAUAAGACAAUUUAUUAAAGGACAUCUGACCUCAAAUCAGGUAGGACUACCCCCCUAGAAAGGGGCAUAUCAAUAAGCGGAGGA
rnacentral:rRNA from 1 species